CCCCGCGCUGCCCCCGGGCCCCGCCGCCAGGAACAAAGAGCCCCCGCCGGCACGCGCCGCUUCAGGACGGGCUCGCUCCGGCCGCACGCUGCGGCGGCUGCGGGGUGUGGGGGGCAACGAGCGGCCGGUGGGGCCGGCGGUGAGAGCGGGACGGGCCGCUCCCGCCCUGACUGUCCGGGCGACGUGCGGGGCUGCCCAGGCGCUUUGUCGGCGCAGUGACCCGAGCGACGCUCCGUGCAGUAACAGCCCACGAGUCACCGCUCGGCCGUGCUGAUGUUUUACGGUUUCCCCGCGUAACGCCUCACAAGACCCGCGCUCCAGACUCGCUUCUCACCUCCGGGCGGCAGCUCCACGUUCCCGCAGCGCUGCCGGACUCGGCAGGUGGGCACAGCCGGGCGCGGGGCCCUCCCGGGGGCGGGGCUCCCUCACUCAGGUGCGCCCCGCACCGUGACAGCGGGGCGGACACAGCGGGGAAACGCCCCGAGCCGCCCCUGCCGCCUCCCAGCACGUUACAGCUGUGCAGCGUUACAGGUGGAGGCUGAGCCCGGGCCAAAAGUGUUCAACAACGGGACCAAACAUCCUGGGUAAGGCUUUGUCCUCCUUAGCUGGGAUGGCGAUGUCCAUCCAGCUGUGCUGACACCUGUCAUUGAUUUCACGGUACCUUUCCAUCAGCACAUGGCACUUGGCACAGAAGACCAUCAGGGCAGGGAGGUGGGACACGAAGCGCUGUUUGUAUAGACGUUAACACAUCAGUGUUACUGUUGUUUCUGUCUUUUUGCUUUCUCAUUUUGCAGUUCUAACUGAAUAAAGUUAUUCAAUUUUCACGUCAAUUUCUGCCUUUCCCCAGACAUCAUUUUUAUUUGUCCACAGUCUUUGCAGCGAUCUCAGCAUGCGGUACCUUGAAGUACAGCGCACUGCCGCUAUUCUCAUGGGAUCUUCUGGUUAAUUUUGUGUAAUCUUGCUGGAGAGAAGCAUGGCUUGUUAUUAGCAAGGAUAAAUACAAUGGAAACUUGUCUGCCAUAUUAUCCAGGAGCGACCCAAUGCUAGAGCAGGAUGAAAGCAUGAGGAGGAAGGAGCAGCACAGAUGAAACUAUAACUGCCCACCAUCACAUCCCUCUACAGCACUCAGCAGAAGGAGAUAGAAGAGCUGAGAAUGAAGGAGUGAAGUUGAGCCUGGAAAAAAAAGGAGGGAGGGAAGUGUGUUUUUGGUUUUGUCUUUGUUUUGUAUUAUGCUACUCUGUUUCUGAUUGGCAAUAAAUCGAUCUUCCCCAAGUUGAAUACUCUGCACAUAAUGGUAACUGGCAAGCAAUUUUCCAGGUUUUAUCUUAAGCUUUAUCAUAUUGUUUUCUUGCCCUGUCCUGUUGAGGAGCAGGUGUGAAAGGGUGAUUUGCUGGGCACCUGGCAGCCAUUCAGCAUCAUUACACUGCAAUUAUACAGACAUUAUUACAGUAAGAACUCAUGUCUUUGCAGUAACUACCGAGGGUUUCCACAGUUAGCAAGUAAACAAGGAAAUGUAAUUGGACAACAAUUGAGGGGAUUGCUCCAUGACAUUGUUUGCUACGUCAGCUAUAGCUUU